rnacentral:rRNA from 1 species
AGUGGGGAAUUUUGGACAAUGGGGGCAACCCUGAUCCAGCCAUGCCGCGUGAGUGAAGAAGGCCUUUGGGUUGUAAAGCUCUUUCAGUUGGGAAGAAAAGGUUGUGACUAAUAAUUGCAAUUCAUGACGGUACCAACAGAAGAAGCACCGGCUAACUACGUGCCAGCAGCCGCGGUAAUACGUAGGGUGCGAGCGUUAAUCGGAAUUACUGGGCGUAAAGGGUGCGCAGGCGGUUUUGUAAGUCAGAUGUGAAAUCCCCGGGCUCAACCUGGGAACUGCGUUUGAAACUACAAGACUAGAGUGUAGCAGAGGGGGGUGGAAUUCCACGUGUAGCAGUGAAAUGCGUAGAGAUGUGGAAGAACACCGAUGGCGAAGGCAGCCCCCUGGGUUAACACUGACGCUCAGGCACGAAAGCGUGGGGAGCAAACAGGAUUAGAUACCCUGGUAGUCCACGCCCUAAACGAUGUCAACUAGUUGUCGGGUCUUAUUAGACUUGGUAACGAAGCUA